UUCAUUUGAGCACCUAGUCCUUCAGUGGUAAUUUUACAUUUAAUAGUCAAUUACAGAUUUCACUUAACCACAAUUUUUUUUUUAAUAAUUGCCUUUCUCCCUACCUUCCAUGGACUGCAAGUUCAUCAGAAUCAGUUUGGGUUCAUAACGUUGAUAUCUUCAAUCCCAGUCCAGAGGAAGACAGCCAAUCCACAAACACUUCAAUAGACAUGACUACUCACGGGCUUAAAUUUAAGCAGGUAACAACAGGGAAAAAGCUGCAGAGUGCAAAGCCCAGCCUAUAUAGGAAUGAUUCUUCCAACAAAAAAACUUUACAAACUUUUUUGACAGCAAACCAAUAAGCUAUCACAGUCCUUGAAUCCUUUAUUUGACUCCCACCAUUUUUUUCCGGAUUACCUAUGUGUGCUCAAGAUAAGGAGCUAAGGAAUAUCAUCGUUUUCUAGUUAGUAAUAGUUUGACUUUACCUGUAAUAAAAAAGGAACACCUUAAUAUCCAUGGAGGAAAAACCAAAACAAAUACUGACAAUUUGUAAGAGACAAAUUAAGGAAAGUAAAACUUAGGAUACAUGUCAGAGGUAAAAAAUGCUAUAGUAAUACCUACUUAACUGUGGAAUGGUCUCCCAAGGCAAGUGAGUGAUGAAGUCCCACAGUGUGAAGAAUUAAAGCAACAUCAGGCAAAGCCUCAGGAAAGAAAUUACUGAGGAGGCAGCAUAAACCGGCUGUGCAGAGACUGUGUGUGUCUAUAGAAAACCUUGCCACUAGCCUUUGCUCAGGCAUGUGUAAUGUAGCAAGAGCACUGCAUAUGGGAAGGCACACUGAAUGUGGACUUGUCCUGUACCAAAAUGUAUGUGUAUUUCUCAGUAAGUACGAUCUACAUAGCUUGAAAUACUGCCUCAAUUUAAACUAAUGGGAAUUUUACAGGCUAAUUGAACAGCCAUCCAUCAGAGGACACCAGUGACUCUGGGUGAUAUUUUUCUGUCCAUCCUCAACAUAACCCCUUAAAAAUUCCUCAGACAUACAAGCAGAUAAUUUUUCACAUUUUUAUGAGUUAAAAUGUGAUUAUUACUGGAUAUUUCUGUUUUAAAGAAAAAAGAAGUCUCCUUUUGCUUUUACCCUUAUACCUAAUACUUGUCUCCAAUACAUAUAAGUAGGAAAUGAAGCACAAACCAAAAGCAUUUCUCUCACUUGCUGGCAGAAGAGAAAAAUACAACUAGACUUGCUCCAGAAUAAGAAAUAGCUCCAUUUCUUUGUUAUGUUUUAUUUUGCUGUUUUCCUAGGGAGUUUGUUCAUAGUUUCUGAGUUUCAUAGUUUUCAUGAGGAAGGAUCUCCUGAUCUGCACCUGUCUGGGGAACAAUGUCCUGUGAUGACUGAAAAAAGAAACCUGCCUGUCCCAUUCUCCAUGGAGAUUAGCUCACAUCAUUGCCUUGUUUUUGGAUGACAACCAUGUGAAAGAGCUGCAGAUGUUAUGGAGGGAUACAAUUUUUAAUUAAAAAUUAUAAUGUGCUGGUAUCACAUUAUAAUACAAAUUGAAGUUGCAGAUUUUUGCAGUGUACCUCAAUUUAAGAAACAGUAUUUUUUCUGCAGUAAUUCCUGGACCUGAUAUAACUAGUAAAUAGGGAUUGCACAGAUGGUCAUUCAGAUCAAAGGCUUUGUGAUCAGGUAAGUGAAAACUCACUGAACCUGCUUCUUGUAACACUCUGAUAUUUCACUAUUCCAUGUACAAAGAGAUUUUACCAUCCAAAACAAAGGCACAGAGCUGUACUAGUCAUGACGCACUUGUCUGUUGUCUGGAGACUUUUUGUCUGCACAAAGGAAGAAACAAGAGCAGAAAAGCUGAAAGUGAGGAAAUAGUACAAACAGACUGGAGAUGAAGCAAGUGUGGGAAGCUGAGGAGGACAUGGAGGGUGAGCUGAGUUCUGGCAGACCCUGAUCUAGAACUAUAUGAAUGGAACCAUCUCUUGUGGCUUGAGUCCUCCUGGGCGUGCAGAAUGGGACCUUUGUAGGUAAGAAAGAUCACUUCAAAGAUAAAUGGUGACAAUACCAAUUUUUCUUUGUAACAUAGAAUACAUGGAGUCCUUGGAUUUUAUCCAGCCACUUAGGCUGAGGCCCUCACAGUCACCUGUCUCUUUCUCCUUGAGACCAGCCCUGAAGCACUGCUGACAAAUUCUCAUGGUUUGUGUCUGUUCAGGAAAAAAAGUGCCUAUUGCCACUCACCAGAUAUGUGAAGUGGGGUUUCCUUUUGUUUGUUUUGUCUCUAAGAUCAGAAUGUUACUUUUUUUCUGUUUAUCACACAGCCAAUCAGUGAAAGGUUAUAGAUGUUAUCUCUUGUUCCAAAGGAAGGAACAUUGUCUGCUGCAAUUCACACACUCUAUUAACUAAAAAGUGUAGGCACAACUUGGAGACACAGCAGCCAUGCAUAAUCAGCAGGAAAAUCUGUCCUGCUGAGCUGCAUUGUCUCAUGAGAAUACAAAUGCCAAAAUGCUGUAACCUUCAUGAAGCUGAGGCCUCCCAGUAGCACACAGUAUUUUUUUGUUUGUUGAAAAUAGAGGCAAUGGUUUAGCAAAGCAGGGACUCAGAACACAGCACCUCCCUGCUAUGCACAGGUUCACUGGAGAUAACUGAUGCAGCCAAAAUGUGCAUAAUCAGCCUGGGACACAAGAGGAACAAUUGUGAUGGCAGCUGAAUCUUUCACUCGUUCUUUAUAUAUUCUGCCUUUUCUCUGGGUUUGUUUUCCUUUUUUCUUCCUUUGCAUUUGUCACGGAAGCAAUCUGUAUUAUUAAACAAAUGUUAUAUAUUAAAACCCCAUUGCUGCCUGCCAGAAAGGAAAAUGGCAUCUUAUUUUAAACAAUAUAUAAUUGUUAUUGCUGUCUUAUUGCAAGCUAUGCCCUUGAAAAAUGACAGUAGAAAUUGAUAAAGAGGAAAAGUAUUAUAACUACAGCAGAAAAAUAACUGUUGCAUUAUCUUCGGGAAAUACAAUCUACAGUUUCAAAGACUGUAAUACAAAUGCUUGGCAUAUUGUGCUCUUAGAUAUGUCUAUGAUCACUUCAAGGAGAAGGCACCACAUUUUUCCUUGAUGCUUUUGUCCAUCUGUCUCAAUGGUAGUCAUAAACAUUUGGUUUGGUGAAACACACAGAGGUGUUGAUAUUGUCUGUCCAAUAGACCUUCUUUUCUGAUCAUAAUUUGUAUUUUAUUUCACAUAGAGGCCUUGCGGCAGGUCAGGACUCAGGUGCUAAUCAAGACAGCCCAACUAAACUGAUUUGACUAACAGACCUACUGCAUAUAGAACACCCUCCUGGAUAAUGCCUGCAGGUCCAGUGCUGAUAUGCCUCUAACUACAAUUUUUAACUUAAGUUGGAACCCUCAACACCUGUACUGCCAGAUUACUGAUUUGAGAAGAGCAAACUUGGUAUUCUCCAUUCAACACCAGCAAAUAUGAAAAUAUGUUUUAAUGUAGAAUAAAAGAUUCUGACUAAUUUUAAGAAGUGAAAUACAGGCAGAACUCUGUUUGCCUGUUUGCUGCCAGUUCUACACAAGGGAUAGUGACUGCUGAUGCUGGAUCUGCUUUCCCAGAUGGGUGUGCUGUGUGUAACAGCCCAAUGGGGUAGUUUGGAUAACAAUUAAGCAGUAAACCACCAAGAUUUCAAUGCCAGAAGACUUGGCCAAACCAAAUUUCAACAGUCUGUAAACCAAGUUCCUAAGAUUGCAUUGGCAAGAAAAGAGGAUAAUACAUCCAUCUUUUCCUAAAGAUGGCUGUGAAGAAUUUGUCCGUGCCUUCGCACUGGUGAGAAAUUUCCAUAAAUACUGUAUAGCAGUCGAUGGUACACCAAAUAAAACUGUAAUCAAAACUA